rnacentral:misc_RNA from 1 species
UGAUCAUAACUCGAAAUCUGCUGCCAAGCUAGUGCAACCCCCACAGAAUUACUCAUCUUCAGCUCCUUAUAUAGGUUCUGGUGCACAUUCUUCAAUGUAUAUGGGUGUCCCACCAUAUGGAUCGUCCCUUUUCACUGGAUCUUCUAUUCCUCCAUAUGAUGUUCCAUUUUCUGGGGGUUCAGCUUAUCAUUAUAAUUACAGUAGCCGCCUUUCUGCUGGCAGCCCUUAUAGGCCGCUGCAUAUGUCUGGACCACCACCAUAUUCGGGUGGAUCUAUGAUGGGGAAUGGUGGGAUGUAUGGUAUGCCACCCUUGAUGGACCGGUAUGGUUUAGGUAUGCCAAUGGGCCCUGCUGCUUUGGGGCCUAGGCCAGGCUUCUUUCCUGAUGAUAAAUCUCUAAAAAAGGGUGCAGAUGCAACACGUGAUAAUGACUGGACAUGUCCAAAAUGUGGGAAUAUCAACUUCUCUUUUAGAACUGUUUGUAAC